CUUUGGGCGUUGAUGGUGGCUCUAGCAGGGAAGACAAUGAGAGCAGCUUGGUGAGUCUUGGAAAACACACCCAUUCCCCCAGCCAGUGACUCUGCAGGGGAAUAGGCAUCUUUCAGCCUCCUGCAUUCCCCUGGAAGGGCACUGCCUACGCCUCUCCAGGCCUGAUCUGUUUUCCUGAUAUUUUAGCAUCCUUCUAUAGCCAAGGUACUCCGACAGGUCUGAGAGGAGGCAGAGGACCUGAGGUCCAACCCUGACCCUAGGCUGCUCUUUUAUACCUACCACCCCAGAGUGAGCUCAGUGUGGCAGGAGCCCACUCUGAAGUUAAAUAAGAGCCACCUGGGAAGGCAGCCCUGAAACCUCCCUGGCUUCCACCUCUUCCCACUUUUCUCCCCAAGCCUGUAGGGGCCUCAGGCUGCUCAAAAUUCCCUUGCUCUAGACCCUCACUCAGCAGACCCCUUCCUGAUAUGUUUCUGGAUAAGCAAGAGUUUACAAUAGAACUUUGACAUCCCAGAAGACUAUACUUCAGAUCUUUCUGACCCCUCCAAGACUUGAGAAUAAAGAAUAAGAGAAUGUAUGCAUGAGUUCUUGGUUUCCUCCUAAUUCACAUUUCCACUGAGUUGAAUGCUUCU
rnacentral:lncRNA from 10 species